rnacentral:rRNA from 1 species
GUGGGGAAUUUUGGACAAUGGGCGCAAGCCUGAUCCAGCCAUGCCGCGUGAGUGAUGAAGGCCCUAGGGUUGUAAAGCUCUUUCACCGGUGAAGAUAAUGACGGUAACCGGAGAAGAAGCCCCGGCUAACUUCGUGCCAGCAGCCGCGGUAAUACGAAGGGGGCUAGCGUUGUUCGGAAUUACUGGGCGUAAAGCGCACGUAGGCGGAUAUUUAAGUUAGGGGUGAAAUCCCAGGGCUCAACCCUGGAACUGCCUCUAAUACUGGGUAUCUCGAGUCCGAGAGAGGUGAGUGGAAUUCCGAGUGUAGAGGUGAAAUUCGUAGAUAUUCGGAGGAACACCAGUGGCGAAGGCGGCUCACUGGCUCGGUACUGACGCUGAGGUGCGAAAGCGUGGGGAGCAAACAGGAUUAGAAACCCUAGUAGUCC